UACGGGGGGGGCAAGCGUUGUUCGGAAUUACUGGGCGUAAAGGGUUCGUAGGUGGCCAACUAAGUCAGACGUGAAAUCCCUCAGCAUAACUGGGGAACUGCGUCUGAUACUGGUUGGCUUGAGUGCAGGAGAGGAAUGCGGAAUUCCAGGUGUAGCGGUGAAAUGCGUAGAUAUCUGGAGGAACACCGGUGGCGAAGGCGGCAUUCUGGACUGCAACUGACACUGAUGAACGAAAGCCAGGGGAGCAAACGGG
rnacentral:rRNA from 1 species